AUUGAACGCUGGCGGCAGGCCUAACACAUGCAAGUCGAACGAGUGGCGGACGGGUGAGUAAUGUCUGGGAAACUGCCUGAUGGAGGGGGAUAACUACUGGAACCGGUAGCUAAUACCGCAUACCAUCGGAUUUGCCCAGAUGGGAUUAGCUAGUAGGUGGGGUAAAGGCUUACCAAGGAGACGAUCCCUAGCUGGUCUGAGAGGAUGACCAGCCACACUGGAACUGAGACACGGUCCAGACUCCUACGGGAGGCAGCAGUAGGGAAUAUUGCACAAUGGGCGCAAGCCUGAUGCAGCCAUGCCGCGUGUGUGAAGAAGGCCUUCGGGUUGUAAAGUACUGUCAGCGGGGAGGCGGUACCCGCAGAAGAAGCACCGGCUAACUCCGUGCCAGCAGCCGCGGUAAUUC
rnacentral:rRNA from 1 species